UCCGCAGUAGCUCAGUGGUAGAGCUAUCGGCUGUUAACCGAUCGGUCGUAGGUU
rnacentral:tRNA from 1 species